rnacentral:rRNA from 1 species
GUGCAAAGGUAGCAUAAUCAUUUGUUUCUUCAUUAGAAACUGGAAUGAAGGGUUUAAUGAAAAGUAUCUUUAUUAAUAUAAUAAAUUGAAUUUAAUCUUAGAAUAAAAAAGUUCUAAUGGAGUUGUGGGACGAUAAGACCCUAUAAAGCUUUAUAAUAAAUUAAGAAGAAAAGAAUUAUUCUUAUUAAAAUAUUUUACUGGGGUGGUAAAAAAAUUAUAUAAAUGAGAAUUUGAUCCAUUAAUUAUGACAAUUAGAUAAAGUUACUUUAGGGAUAACAGCAUAAUUCUUUUUAAGAGAUCUUAUCAAUGAAAGAGAUUAUGACCUCGAUGUUGAAUU